UACGGGGGGGGUAAGCGUUGUUCGGAAUUACUGGGCGUAAAGGGUCUGUAGGUGGCUUGCUAAGUCAGACGUGAAAUCCCUCAGCUUAACUGGGGAACUGCGUCUGAUACUGAUGAGCUUGAGUGCAGGAGAGGAACGCGGAAUUCCAGGUGUAGCGGUGAAAUGCGUAGAUAUCUGGAGGAACACCGGUGGCGAAGGCGGCGUUCUGGACUGCAACGGACACUGAGAGACGAAAGCCAGGGGAGCAAACGGG
rnacentral:rRNA from 1 species